rnacentral:rRNA from 1 species
GAUGAACGCUGGCGGCGUGCCUAACACAUGCAAGUCGAACGGAAUUUACAUGAAGCCUAGCGAUUGUAAAUUUAGUGGCGGACGGGUGAGUAACGCGUGGGUAACCUGCCUUGUACUGGGGGACAACAGUUGGAAACGACUGCUAAUACCGCAUAAGCGCACGGUAUCGCAUGAUACAGUGUGAAAAACUCCGGUGGUAUAAGAUGGACCCGCGUCUGAUUAGCUAGUUGGCAGGGCAACGGCCUACCAAGGCGACGAUCAGUAGCCGACCUGAGAGGGUGACCGGCCACAUUGGGACUGAGACACGGCCCCAAACUCCUACGGGAGGCAGCAGUGGGGAAUAUUGCACAAUGGGGGAAACCCUGAUGCAGCGACGCCGCGUGAGCGAAGAGAUUUCGGUAUGUAAAGCUCUAUCAGCAGGGA